AUACUCAGUGGUGGCCAUAGAGAGUUGGUGACUGCCUUUGAGAGGAGAAUGGUUGUGAUCCUUUUGCCGAGAACUCACCCAGAGGACUUAUACCUUGGUGACAGCAGAAGGACUCAAGUUAGAAGGCCAGGGCCCUUAAAGGGAGGGGACGAUUCGAGGAAAGUAUAGAUUAGAAAACUGAGGCCCAGAGAAGGAAAGUAGCUGCCAGAGGUCACACAGCUAGGAUUGAGGGAUCAGAGGUUGCACCCUUCUAGGAACUUCCGCCUGAGGGAGACUGGUCAGAGCUCAGGAGGGACUGUUCCAGGGGAUGAGAUAUCUGCUGGCCAGGAAAGGCAUGGGAACUGGGCAGCGGAGCACACCCUCCGGACCUGGCCCAACUUCAGAAUAACAACAAAUGAUUGUGCCAGGCUCUGCCAGUUCCUCCUCCCCCACAAGCUGGCACAUGUGGAUAUUGGCUCUGUUUUGCCUUUGACCCCUAGUGAAAGAAAAUACUGAGACGGAGUCUCGCUCUGUCGCCCAGGUUGGAGUGAAGCGGCUAGAUCUCAGCUCACUGCAACCUCUGCCUCCCAGGUUUAAGCAAUUCUCCUGUCUCAGCCUCCAGAGUAGCUGGGACUACAGGCGCAUGCCACCAUGCCCUACUAAUUUUUUGUAUUUUUAGGAGAGACAGGCCUUCACCAUGUUGGUCAAGCUGGUCUCGAACUCCUGACCUCAGGUGACCCACCGGCUUCAGCCUCCCAAAGUGCUGGGAUUACAGGCAUGAGCCACCGCGCCCAGCCUCAUAUCUAUCUUUAUCACUCCAUUUCAGAUCUUCUUCCAUAUAUGGCUCUGUGUGUCUCCUGUCCUUCCCUGUCUCCU
rnacentral:lncRNA from 10 species